rnacentral:misc_RNA from 1 species
AAGUCGUAACAAGGUUUCCGUAGGUGAACCUGCGGAAGGAUCAUUAGCGAAGCUCGGAAUGCGCGUUCGGUGCUGAUGCUGCCCAGCAAUGGGACUGUGCUCGCUCGGACGUGUGUCCCUUCUCUAUUCCACCCCAUUGUGAACCAAGUGUGCGAGCCGAAGAGAGAUCGGAGGCUCGCAUGCAAACCCUUAACAUACCCCAAUGAAGUAUCAGAAUGUACCUUGCGUUGACUCGCACAAAUACAACUUUCAACAACGGAUCUCUUGGCUCUC